rnacentral:rRNA from 1 species
UACGUAGGCAGCGAGCGUUGUUCGGAGUUACUGGGCGUAAAGCGCACGUAGGCGGAUCGUUAAGUCGGGGGUGAAAUCCUGGAGCUCAACUCCAGAACUGCCUUCGAUACUGGCGAUCUUGAGUCCGGAAGAGGUGAGUGGAACUCCUAGUGUAGAGGUGGAAUUCGUAGAUAUUAGGAAGAACACCAGUGGCGAAGGCGGCUCACUGGUCCGGUACUGACGCUGAGGUGCGAAAGCGUGGGGAGCAAGCAGG